GCAUUGGUGGUUCGGUGGUAGAAUUCUCACCUUCCAUUUGGGAGACUCAGGUUCAAUUCUCAGCCAAUGCA
rnacentral:tRNA from 1 species